rnacentral:rRNA from 1 species
AUGACGGCCUUCGGGUUGUAAACCUCUUUCAGUAGGGAAGAAGCGAAAGUGACGGUACCUGCAGAAGAAGCGCCGGCUAACUACGUGCCAGCAGCCGCGGUAAUACGUAGGGCGCAAGCGUUGUCCGGAAUUAUUGGGCGUAAAGAGCUCGUAGGUGGCUUGUCGCGUCUGCCGUGAAAACCCGAGGCUCAACCUCGGGCGUGCGGUGGGUACGGGCAGGCUAGAGUGUGGUAGGGGAGACUGGAACUCCUGGUGUAGCGGUGAAAUGCGCAGAUAUCAGGAAGAACACCGAUGGCGAAGGCAGGUCUCUGGGCCAUUACUGACACUGAGGAGCGAAAGCAUGGGUAGCGAACAGGAUUAGAUACCCUGGUAGUCCAUGCCGUAAACGUUGGGCACUAGAUGUGGGGGACAUUCCACGUUUUCCGCGUCGUAGCUAACGCAUUAAGUGCCCCGCCUGGGGAGUACGGCCGCAAGGCUAAAACUCAAAGGAAUUGACGGGGGCCCGCACAAGCGGCGGAGCAUGCUGAUUAAUUCGAUGCAACGCGAAGAACCUUACCAAGGCUUGACAUGCACCGGACGGCCGCAGAGAUGUGGCUUUCUUCGGACUGGUGCACAGGUGGUGCAUGGUUGUCGUCAGCUCGUGUCGUGAGAUGUUGGGUUAAGUCCCGCAACGAGCGCAACCCUUGUUCUAUGUUGCCAGCACGUCAUGGUGGGGACUCAUAGGAGACUGCCGGGGUCAACUCGGAGGAAGGUGGGGACGACGUCAAAUCAUCAUGCCCCUUAUGUCUUGGGCUUCAAGCAUGCUACAAUGGUCGGUACAAUGGGUUGCGAAACUGUGAGGUGGAGCGAAUCCCAAAAAGCCGGCCUCAGUUCGGAUUGGGGUCUGCAACUCGACCCCAUGAAGUCGGAGUCGCUAGUAAUCGCAGAUCAGCACG